GACGAACGCUGGCGGCGUGCCUAAUACAUGCAAGUCGAACGCUGAAGGAGGAGCUUGCUUCUCCGGAUGAGUUGCGAACGGGUGAGUAACGCGUAGGUAACCUGCCUGGUAGCGGGGGAUAACUAUUGGAAACGAUAGCUAAUACCGCAUAACAGUAGAUGUUGCAUGACAUUUGCUUAAAAGGUGCAAUUGCAUCACUACCAGAUGGACCUGCGUUGUAUUAGCUAGUUGGUGAGGUAACGGCUCACCAAGGCGACGAUACAUAGCCGACCUGAGAGGGGGAUCGGCCACACUGGGACUGAGACACGGCCCAGACUCCUACGGGAGGCAGCAGUAGGGAAUCUUCGGCAAUGGACGGAAGUCUGACCGAGCAACGCCGCGUGAGUGAAGAAGGUUUUCGGAUCGUAAAGCUCUGUUGUAAGAGAAGAACGAGUGUGAGAGUGGAAAGUUCACACUGUGACGGUAGCUUACCAGAAAGGGACGGCUAACUACGUG
rnacentral:rRNA from 1 species